AUUGAACGCUGGCGGCAUGCUUUACACAUGCAAGUCGAACGGUAACAGGCCGCAAGGUGCUGACGAGGGGCGAACGGGUGAGUAAGGCAUGGGAACGUGCCCAGUCGUGGGGGAUAACGCAGCGAAAGCUGCGCUAAUACCGCAUACGAUCUCCGGAUGAAAGCGGGGGGCCGAAAGCCCUCUGGCGAUUGGAGCGGCCGAUAGCAGAUUAGGUAGGUGGUGGGGUAAAGGCCCACCAAGGCAACGGUCUGAAGCUGGUCUGAGCGGACGACCAGCCACACGGGGACUGAGACACGGCCCAGACUCCUACGGGAGGAAGCGGUGGGGAAUUUUGGACAAUGGGCGCAAGCCUAAUCCAGCAAUGCCGGGUGCAGGAAGAAGGCCUUCGGGUUGUAGACGGCUUUUGUACGGAACGAAACGGUCCUGGUUAAUACCUGGGGCUAAUGACGGUACCGUAAGAAUAAGCAUCGGCUAACUACGUGCCAGCCGCCGCCGUAAUAC
rnacentral:rRNA from 1 species